CCUACAGGGGGCAGCAGUGGGGAAUAUUGCACAAUGGGGGGAACCCUGAUGCAGCGACGCCGCGUGAGUGAAGAAGUAUUUCGGUAUGUAAAGCUCUAUCAGCAGGAACGAGACAAGACGGUACCUGACUAAGAAGCCCCGGCUAACUACGUGCCAGCAGCCGCGGUAAUACGUAGGGGGCAAGCGUUAUCCGGAAUCACUGGGUGUAAAGGGAGCGUAGACGGCUUGGCAAGCCAGAUGUGAAAGGCUGGGGCUCAACCCCAGGACUGCAUUUGGAACUGUCAUGCUAGAGUGUCGGAGAGGCAGGCGGAAUUCCUAGUGUAGCGGUGAAAUGCGUAGAUAUUAGGAGGAACACCAGUGGCGAAGGCGGCCUGCUGGACGAUGACUGACGUUGAGGCUCGAAAGCGUGGGGAGCAAACAGGAUUAGAUACCCUAGUAGUC
rnacentral:rRNA from 1 species